UCCUACGGGGCGCAGCAGUGGGGGAUAUUGCACAAUGGGGGGAACCCUGAUGCAGCGACGCCGCGUGGGUGAAGGAGCGUUUCGGCGCGUAAAGCCCUAUCGGCAGGGAAGAAGAUGACGGUACCUGACCAAGAAGCCCCGGCUAACUACGUGCCAGCAGCCGCGGUAAUACGUAGGGGGCAAGCGUUAUCCGGAUUUACUGGGUGUAAAGGGAGCGCAGGCGGCUUGGCAAGUCUGAUGUGAAAGGCUGGGGCUCAACCCCAGGACUGCAUUGGAAACUGUUAGGCUGGAGUGUCGGAGAGGUG
rnacentral:rRNA from 1 species